rnacentral:rRNA from 1 species
UACAGAGGUCUCAAGCGUUGUUCGGAAUUACUGGGCGUAAAGGGUGCGCAGGCCGCGCGGGCAGUCAAAUGUGUAAUUCAGGGGCUCAACCCCUGCACUGCGCUUGAUACUUCCGCGCUCGAGCUUUGGAGAGGAGUCUGGAAUUCCCGGUGUAGCAGUGAAAUGCGUGGAUAUCGAGAAGAACACUUAGGGCGAAGGCAAGACUCUGGACAAAUGCUGACGCUCAUGCACGAAGGCUAGGGUAGCGAACGGG